ensembl:lncRNA
AAAAAGAAAAAUCACUAGAACUGCAAGCAGUUAUGCAGGGGUCCAAGAAGUGUGCAUUUCGCCGGCACAACGCGAAGCAUGUGUUAGAAAAUUGAGAAAUGGCAUAUGCCAAAAGAUGUAGCUGACUCCAGUGAAUCUGUGGAUAUAAAGGUUUUGACUGUGGGAGCUACGGUGUGGGAGUUAUAGCCCAAAACGCGUUUUCAGAACAUUCCAUUGGCAAAUUAGGAGACAUACAAUGUCGUAGUUUUUUGGCGCCGCCUUGUGGCGAAAUUUUCCGAAGACAAUUUUCCUUUUCCAAAUAACUCCCGCCCACAUUAAUAAUUGUUGGACAUAUUUUCUAAAUAGACUCGGGUUUGCCCCUUGAUAGUUUCCCUUGAGUUUGAAGAACAUUCCUUUGGCCAAUUAGAAGAUAUACAAUUUCCUCGUUUAUUGCGCCCCCUAAUGGCGAAAUUUUCCGAAAUUUUUAUCGAACGUCAUUAAGGUUGGCACCAACAUGUGUGUACAAUUUGGACUCGUUCCGAUGUCUAAUUUUGGAUCUCUUUGGAUUUUUGAUUUUCCACGUCUAAUUUAGCUCAUAAACCAAUAUUCAAAACGCUACCGUUUCGUCGUCGAAGGUCGGAUCAAAAAAGUGUUCGAGUUUUUAUGUUCGUGUGCGUCUGAAGAUGCCGUGUGCAAAGUUUGGUGUCGAUUGGUCAAGAAAUGUGGGAGGAGUAGCGAAAAAACAGUUUUGCGGUUUUCGCGAUUUAGCGAAAAAAAAUUCUAGACGCAAAUGGGCGUGGCCUAUGCCAAAAGAUGCAG